rnacentral:rRNA from 1 species
AUGAAAUUCACAAACGGCGAAGAGCUAACCAAAGCUAUACACCUCUUAACCUUAUUCACAUGUUUGCAACGUCUCGAGAUAUUGUGCUUCUACUUUGAUCCAAAUAAUGAAGCUGGUUGUGGAGAUUGGAAACCGGCGUCUGAGAUGGCCAUCUGGCAAAGUAAGCAUCUAACGCAUGUGCGACUGAGCGGAUAUUGUGGUACGGCCGGGGAGAUAGAUUUUGCAAGGUAUCUUAUGGUUAGAGCGCAAUCUCUAAGGGCCAUGGAUAUCAGUCAUUUCGUUGAUUGGACCACAAAGGAUAUCAGCCGUCAAACAGAGUUGAUAUGCCUGCAAGGGAAGGCCUCGCCGUUGGCUGAGCUAUUUUUCACUAGAAGCGCCCAGCCAGAUGACAUGCGAAGGAAAGUGGAUAGAUAUCUUCAUACACUGCCCAUCCUUUGA